rnacentral:rRNA from 1 species
CACGUAGGGGGCGAGCGUUGUCCGGAUUUAUUGGGCGUAAAGAGCUCGUAGGCGGCUCAGUAAGUCAGGUGUGAAAACUCCAGGCUCAACCUGGAGACGCCACCUGAUACUGCUGUGGCUAGAGUCCGGUAGGGGAGCAUGGAAUUCCUGGUGUAGCGGUGAAAUGCGCAGAUAUCAGGGAGGAACACCAGUGGCGGAAGGCGGUGCUCUGGGGCCGGAACUGACGCUGGAGGAGCGAAAGCGUGGGGAGCAAACAGG